rnacentral:sRNA from 1 species
AUAUCUCUCCGUACGGGAAGGAUGAGAAGCUUCGAUUAAGGUUCGAUUCGAGCGCAGCGAGAAAGCGUUGCCGCAGGCAACGACCCG